rnacentral:rRNA from 1 species
UACGGGGGGGGCUAGCGUUGUCCGGAAUUAUUGGGCGUAAAGAGCUCGUAGGCGGACUGUCACGUCUGCUGUGAAAAGCUGGGGCUUAACCCUGGCCUUGCAGUGGAUACGGGCAGACUAGAGGUAGGUAGGGGAGAAUGGAAUUCCCGGUGUAGCGGUGAAAUGCGCAGAUAUCGGGAGGAACACCGGUGGCGAAGGCGGUUCUCUGGGCCUUACCUGACGCUGAGGAGCGAAAGCGUGGGGAGCGAACAGG